rnacentral:piRNA from 1 species
UGAGAUGUCAGAGCCUGGGUGAGGAG